rnacentral:lncRNA from 1 species
GCCCACACUAGUAUGCCCAGCUAAUUAUUUUAAUUUUUGUAGAGAUGGCAGGUGGCGGUGUGGGGGUGUCUCUCUAUGUUGCCCAGGCUGGUCUCGAACUCUUGACCUCAAGUGAACCUCCUGCCUCAGCCCCACAAAGCUCUGGAAUUAUAGGUGUGAGCCACUGUGGCUGGCUACAACACUAUUUAUUUAUAUUUUGGACCAACAGAUAUUCUAGCAUAUAAGAAAUGUGAUGCUCUCUGUACAUUGAAGAGUUGGUCUAAUAUUUGUCCUGGUCGAUACAGAAAUUGCCUGUUUGCUCCACUCUGGUUGAAGAAACCAGUCUGACUGUCUCUGAGGCUAUGGAGCAGUCCAUCAAGAAUGAAAGCCCUCUGCCAGGCACGUUGGCUCACACCUGUAAUACCAGCACUUUGGGAGGCCGAGGCAGGUGGAUCACUUGAGGUCAGGAGUUCGACACCAGCAUGGCCAACAUGGUGAAACCCUGUCUCUACAGAAAAUAAUACUUUGCAAGGCCUCAGAAACUCUGCUAUCCACAGGCAGGUGAGAUAUUACCUUCCCUACCACCUGGCAGUCAUAGUCUAUGACACGAUUCAGCUUUAUGGAAGUGCUUCUCUAAAGAACUUCCCCCAAUUUAAGAUGAUCUUAAUUUGCUUACUUGUUUACUGUCCAUUUAGCUGCUCUAAAAUAUGAGCUCCAAAUCAGGGGCCAUGUCUGGUUGGUUACCCAUUUCCUGGGACCUAGAACGGGCCUAGCUCAGAGCAGGUGCUCACUAUUGAUGGAAUGCAUGUUGAAAGAAUGCGUGAAUCUCAUCUCCUUUUGUGGGUGAAAAACUCAUCCUAUUCUCACCCUGAUUAACUUCCUUUUUUUUCCAAAAUGGAGCCGUGAUCUGUCACCCAGCCUGGAGUGCAAUGGUGUGAUGGCUUGCUGCAACCUCUGCCUUCUGGAUUAAAACAAUUCUCCUGCCUCAGCCUCCUGGGUAGCUGGGAUUACCGGUGCAUGCCACCACGCCCGGCUAAUGUUUUGUAUUUUAAAUAGAGACAGGGUUUCACCAUGUUGGCCAGGCUGGUCUCGAACUCCUGACCUCGUGAUCCACCCACUUUGGCCUCCCAAAGUCCUGGGAUUACAGGCAUGAGCCACCGUACCCAGCCUGUCUUGAUUAACUUAAUGGAAAUAUUUACAGAGAUUCUUUCUCUUCUGGGUUCUAGCGUCUUAUGUGUAACCUCUGCAGGUAGAAGUUGCUGGUCCCAUCUUGCUCACAAUCCUCCAAAGUUUGGAAGUUACUUUCCAGGAGACUUAGCUUGCACUGAGAGCUGCCCUCCCACCCUCUCUCCAAAUUUCCUCUUGGGAGUAGCCUAACAAGGUGCUGUCACAGACCCUUGCCAGCCACGAUGACCCCACCCAGACCAUCCCUCUGCUGUUUCACUCUUUGAUACUCUCUGGAGCUCUCUGGGGAGGGGUGAGACCUGCUGUCUGCUUUGUACUGUUUGCCCAGGUCUUACAGUCAUGGCUGGCUCCUCUCUCUGAGAACUGGGACUCCUGAACUUGGUGAAAUACCUCAGCCAUCGAUCAUGUUAAAUUAUCGGGGACACUCAUUAAAAAUGUGAGUCUGCUCCAGAUGGACUCUCUCUCUUUCUGCCCUGACCGUGAGGGAGACCGUGAGAGAGAGAGACCGUGAGAGAGAGAAACCGUGAGAGAGACCAUCAGAGAGAGAAAGAGAGACCGUGCCCUGACCUGCUGGACAGUGGAGAUGCUUGUGGGCUGUGAGCAACAGAUGCAAGGGCUGCCGGGAAUCCCAUCUUUCCAGCAUCAUCUGCCAAGGCACAUCAGUUCCUGGGUGUCUUGAUGGGUUCUGGCAGCAUUACUGUCAUUGAAGGAAAACAUUUUAGCCAUAUUAAAGGUGAACUCAGCAAUCCCCACACAGCCUGCCUGGAAGGGACGCGGGACAAGGGUAGGUUCUCCCUGUGAUGGACAGGAGGCAGGCGACCCUCCCACAGCCCUACCUGGCAAUGCAGAUGUGUCCCCAAAAGGCACUGGGGGCAGCUGGAGUGCUGUGCCUAGGCGGGCUCACCCGGGCAGCGGUUCGCUCUGAUUGCAGUGGUUUCCCACCAGCUCCUUGGAGAGCUGGCAGAUGACCCAGCCCCACAGCAGGAGCCGGGAAUGGCAGAACGAGAUACAACAAUUUGAUAUCCACUUGCCAGAUGAGCCGGGUGUCCUCAGUCGCCUGGCUCUGUGCCCAACCUCUUUUUACAUAAACACUUAUGAAUUGAGCCAGGAGGAAAAGCACUCUGAUUAUGAAUUGAGCAGAAGGAAACAAAGUUCUGCAGAUAAACACCAAUGAAACAAAAAACCACGAAUAAGAAAAAUGACAGAAAAGGAGAACCUUCCCAGAAGCCUCCUGCCAGUGAACGGUCACCAGAGCAAGAGCAUGGAGGCCCUGGGUUUUGAACUGUGAGAUAAGGAAGAUGAUGAAAACCUCCCUAGCAGCCAGGCAAGCACAAGAUUCCUGUGAAAUCCAGGUCUAAGUGUUUUGACAACAGAAGUAAUAUUAUGUCAUAGGUGAGAGCUGUGAGUUGCUGAACCCAAAGUGAGUUCAAAUCCGAGCUCUGCCUCCUGCUACCUGUGUGACUUUGAGAAGUUCCAGCACUGCUUUGUGCCUCAGUUUUGUCAUCUGUUAAAUGGGCGUAAUCACAGCUCCUGCCUCAGAGUUGUUGUAAAUUAAUACAUGUAAAGCACUGAAAUCAGCCUGGU